rnacentral:rRNA from 1 species
UUGUGCCAGCAGCCGCGGUAAUUCAGCUCCAAUAGCGUAUAUUAAAGUUGUUGUGGUUAAAAAGCUCGUAGUUGAACCUUGGGCCUGGCUGGCCGGUCCGCCUCACCGCGUGCACUGGUCCGGCCGGGCCUUUCCCUCUGUGGAACCCCAUACCCUUCACUGGGCGUGGCGGGGAAACAGGACAUUUACUUUGAAAAAAUUAGAGUGCUCCAGGCAGGCCUAUGCUCGAAUACAUUAGCAUGGAAUAAUAAAAUAGGACGCGCGGUUCUAUUUUGUUGGUUUAUAGGACCGCCGUAAUGAUUAGUAGGGACAGUCGGGGGCAUCAGUAUUCAACUGUCAGAGGUGAAAUUCUUGGAUCAGUUGAAGACUAACUACUGCGAAAGCAUUUGCCAAGGAUGUUUUCAUUAAUCAGGAACGAAAGUUAGGGGAUCGAAGACGAUCAGAUACCGUCGUAGUCUUAACCAUAAACUAUGCCGACUAGGGAUCGGACGGUGUUAUUCAUGACCCGUUCGGCACCUUACGAGAAAUCAAAGUGCUUGGGCUCCAGGGGGGAGUAUGGUCGCAAGGCUGAAACUUAAAGAAAUUGACGGAAGGGCACCACCAGGGGUGGAGCCUGCGGCUUAAUUUGACUCAACACGGGGAAACUCACCAGGUCCAGACACAAUAAGGAUUGACAGAUUGAGAGCUCUUUCUGAUUUUGUGGGUGGUGGUGCAUGGCCGUUCUAGUUGGUGGGGUGACUUGUCUGCUUAUUGCGAAUAACGAACGAGACCUUAACCUGCUAAAUAG